GUCUGUCUGUCUGUCUGUCUGUCUGUCUGUCUGUCUGUCUGUUUCUGUCUGUCUGUUUCUGUCUGUCUGUCUGUCUGUCUGUCUGUCUGUCUGUCUGUUUCUGUCUGUCUGUCUGUCUGUCUCUGUCUGUCUGUCUGUCUGUCUGUCUUUGCUCUGUUCGUUUGAGCCUCAGAUUGUGAAGGUGCAUCUGCUGCCUGCUCAGUUAUGGAUUACAUGAAGAAGGAAAACAUAAUUUUUUAUUCUUUUGAUUUCCUUUAAGGCUUCCUGCCUGCAGCUUCUGCAACAAGGAGUCUCUAGAAAAUGUUAACAAUCAUUUAAAGCAAAACAACACAAACGGACAUGAAAGCCGAUGGAAACACAACAGGAAUGAUUUAGCCGCAGAUCUCCAUCUGGACGCCACGUCCUCUGGAAACGCUGCAGGAUGUUGACAUCUGUUUGGAAGCUGGAAAAUCAAAAUUAACAGAAAUAAUUUGGGAUAUUUAGAUUCACAGGAGAAAAAAAGGCUUCAUUUUUCAAAGUUAUAUUUUCAUGUUAUUCAUUUAUUUAUAAAUGUCACAGUUUCAAACUAAAUAUUUAGCAUAUCAGCUAAAUAUUUAACUCAGUAUUUAGCUCAGAGCUAAAUAUUUAGCUAAUAUGCAAAUUCACUUUCUGAUAACCGGAAGUGGACUACCAAAAUAAAAGCUGUCUAGCAAACCUGUAAAUAAACUCCUGCUUGUGAACUGCAGUUUAAAUGGGAGUUUAUUUCAAUAUGUUUGAUUUUUAAUACAAAUGUUUUAUUUUGAUAGCAACAUGAUUUUGCAUCUUAGCUAAAUAUUGAUCUGAAAACUAAACAUUUUGUUUGAAUAUAAAAUAGUUAUACAUUCUUGAUGACUGUUGCAGCCAUGUUUAGACUGGUUGCUGCCAUGGCAACCGGUCUAAACAUUUUGAGUAAUUGAAUAAGAACUGGUGCAAAAUACUUGGAUUAAUGUUGUUUUGACGCUGAAUUGGAGAAGCUGAAGAGGUUAUAGAUGUGAUUUUGAUAAUGAACUUGAAAUGAUGUAAAAUGUGUAACUGCAAUCAAAGAUCACUGAUGUCGUGUUGGAGGGAUGUUCUAGAUGGAAGUUUAGGAAAAAGGAGAACUGAAAAGCACAGCCCAGCACAAAAAAGAGGAACUACACCGAAACCAGACUGCUGAAGAGAAGGAAAGUUUGCAGGCUGCAGGAUGGAGUGUGACCCUCGAACAGGCCGGGGACAAGGACACAGCCAUGACAUAAUGUCUCCAAGUCGAAGGUGGAACUGAGAUCAUCUAUUCAUCUAGACAGCCAAUGGAAAAAGGAAGAUGGUGACAUGAGAUGGACCUUUAAGCAUCGGUCGGCUGCAAAAGAAGAGAAGUGGGUUUUUCCUUCCGUAAGGUCUGCACUGUCACCGAGACGGAUCAACGAUGCCUUGGAUCUACGCAGAGGGGCCCUCUGAGUUGUGGGGCCCUCUGAGUUGUGGGGCCCUCUGAGUUUUGGGGCUGCAGCAGAGCACCUGUACGCACAUGAGGAAAUUCCCCACAAGCCAACUCCCGCAGCUCUGGAUUAAGACCCCCUCUGGCAUCUUAAGGCUUCCCGAGAACCGGGUCCCCCUCCCUCUACCAGGACUGAUCCCAACGGACCAAGCUGGAGCUUGUGGUUCAGUUCUCCGUCUCACAAAUUGUUCUCAGUGCAAGCAGUGAUAGAGAUCAGGGUGAGAGAUGUUGAAUUGAAGUUGAUUUCAUUACAUAGUUGUCUCUUUAAUUUGAUGUUUGCAUCUAUUUUCUGCUAUGUGCCGUAUAAUUCCCUAUUCCUACCCAUAUUAAACAAGCAUACAAAGA